rnacentral:tRNA from 1 species
UGGCUCAGUUGGUAGAGCAUGGUGUUUGCAACGCCAGGGUUGUGGGUUCGUUUCUCAC